rnacentral:rRNA from 1 species
AGCAGUCGCCGCGGGAAUACGUAGGUGGCAAGCGUUGUCCGGAAUUAUUGGGCGUAAAGCGCGCGCAGGCGGAUCAGUCAGUCUGUCCUAAAAGUUCGGGGCUUAACCCCGUGAUGGGAUGGAAACUGCUGAUCUAGAGUAUCGGAGAGGAAAGUGGAAUUCCUAGUGUAGCGGUGAAAUGCGUAGAUAUUAGGAAGAACACCAGUGGCGAAGGCGACUUUCUGGACGAAAACUGACGCUGAGGCGCGAAAGCCAGGGGAGCGAACGGGAUUAGAUACCCCCGUAGUCCCUGUCUCUUAUACA